rnacentral:rRNA from 1 species
UACGUAGGGGGCAAGCGUUGUCCGGAAUCAUUGGGCGUAAAGCGCGUGUAGGCGGUUUCGUAAGUCUGCUGUGAAAGUCGGAGGCUCAACCUUCGAAAGCCGGUGGAUACUGUGAGACUUGAGUACGGAAGAGGAGAGUGGAAUUCCUGGUGUAGCGGUGAAAUGCGCAGAUAUCAGGAAGAACACCCGUGGCGAAGGCGGUUCUCUGGGACGGUACUGACGCUGAGACGCGAAAGCGUGGGGAGCGAACAGG